rnacentral:misc_RNA from 1 species
CCCAAGAGCGUCGUCGCGCGCCUUGGCCGCACGGUUAAGUUUCCUGUGUUGCGUACCUACCGGAAGGAAUUCGCACGACCCAACGACGGACGUCCUUCCAGCGACGUGCCCGCCCCUCGUGCGGGCGCGGCGCGGGACGGACCGCGAGGGCGCGCCCGUGCUCCGAGCCGCACGCCAUGCGAUGCGUCUCGGCCCACGGCCUGCCGCCCGAGCUCUCGGACGCGGUGCACCAGGAGGGCAGGGGGUCGCACGACGGCCUCCGUUUGCCCGAGCUCGGCGUCAAUCGCCCGCACCGAACGACUGCCGUCGUCGCCUCGAGGCGCCGCACCCCCCCGGGCGUGUCGGCCGGCC